UGCUCUCCCCGUCACAGGACCGCUUGUCCCCUAAAUCUGCCUUUAUUGAUCCGUUUAUGAUCAGAAGUUCCUCAUCUGGCAGAUUCAGGAACAAAAAAGAUCAAUAAAAUCAAAGGUAGUCUGGUUCUUUAAACUCUUCACCUGCUCACGUGAUCCGUUAGGACAGCGCCGACAAACACAAUGUUUCAACAGAAACAAGGUGUUUACCCCGCUGAUGCUGCACGAGCUCACAGCUCUCAGUACGUGUUGAUCCUCAGGUGUUAGUCUCUCUGGAUUAAAGCGUCUGUCGGGUGACUAAAUGUAAAAUAAUCUGUGUCUCAGUCUGAAGUGAUUUCUGAACCUUCUGUUUGCAGUUCAAUAAUUUAGUUUCCCUAAAUCAUAAUUUGUUUUUCCCAUUUCUAAAAAGAAUGAAUGUGAAACAGGAACAUCUGAGCCGGGUCGCUCAGUGUAAACUGACCCGUGUGAAGGCUGCUGCAGGAUCUUAAUUAGUCCAGAGCCAAUAACAGCAGAACAGAUCUACCAGGGGGACGGCGUCCUGAGGCCCAGAAAGAGUUCCUGUUGUUGUUCAAGACACUAACUCAGUUUAAAGGCCGACAGAACUGAGGAGCAGCAGCGCCCCCUGCA